CGAAAGCCUGACGGAGCAAUACCGCGUGAGGGAGGAAGGCUCUUGGGUUGUAAACCUCUUUUCUCAGGGAAGAAAAAAAUGACGGUACCUGAGGAAUAAGCAUCGGCUAACUCCGUGCCAGCAGCCGCGGUAAUACGGAGGAUGCAAGCGUUAUCCGGAAUGAUUGGGCGUAAAGGGUCCGCAGGUGGCAUUGUAAGUCUGCUGUUAAAGAGUUUGGCUCAACCAAAUAAAAGCAGUGGAAACUACAAAGCUAGAGUUUGGUCGGGGCAGAGGGAAUUCCUGGUGUAGCGGUGAAAUGCGUAGAUAUCAGGAAGAACACCAGUGGCGAAGGCGCUCUGCUAGGCCGAGACUGACACUGAGGGACGAAAGCUAGGGGAGC
rnacentral:rRNA from 1 species